rnacentral:rRNA from 1 species
GACGAACGCUGGCGGCGUGCCUAAUACAUGCAAGUAGAACGCACAGUUUAUACCGUAGCUUGCUACACCAUAGACUGUGAGUUGCGAACGGGUGAGUAACGCGUAGGUAACCUGCCUGGUAGCGGGGGAUAACUAAUGGAAACGAUAGCUAAUACCGCAUAAUAUUAAUUAUUGCAUGAUAAUUAAUUGAAAGGUGCAAUUGCACCACUACCAGAUGGACCUGCGUUGUAUUAGCUAGUAGGUGAGGUAACGGCUCACCUAGGCGACGAUACAUAGCCGACCUGAGAGGGUGAUCGGCCACACUGGGACUGAGACACGGCCCAGACUCCUACGGGAGGCAGCAGUAGGGAAUCUUCGGCAAUGGACGAAAGUCUGACCGAGCAACGCCGCGUGAGUGAAGAAGGUUUUCGGAUCGUAAAGCUCUGUUGUAAGAGAAGAACGGGUGUGAGAGUGGAAAGUUCACACUGUGACGGUAUCUUACCAGAAAGGGACGGCUAACUACGUG